UACAGAGGUCUCAAGCGUUGUUCGGAUUCACUGGGCGUAAAGCGCACGUAGGCGGAUUGUUAAGUCAGGGGUGAAAUCCUGGAGCUCAACUCCAGAACUGCCUUUGAUACUGGCGAUCUCGAGUCCGGGAGAGGUGAGUGGAACUGCGAGUGUAGAGGUGAAAUUCGUAGAUAUUCGCAAGAACACCAGUGGCGAAGGCGGCUCACUGGCCCGGUACUGACGCUGAGGUGCGAAAGCGUGGGGAGCAAACAGG
rnacentral:rRNA from 1 species